rnacentral:rRNA from 1 species
UACGGAGGGGGCGAGCGUUGUCCGAAGUUACUGGGCGUAAAGGGCGCGUAGGCGGGAAGCUAAGUCCGCUGUCAAAGCCCGGGGCUUAACCCCGGAAGGUCGGUGGAGACUGGUUUUCUUGAAGCUGCCAGGGGGAGAUGGAAUUACCGGUGUAGCGGUGAAAUGCGUAGAUAUCGGUAGGAACACCAGUGGCGAAGGCGGCUACCUGGACCAGCACUGACACUGAAGCACGAAAGCGUGGGGAGCAAACAGG